GCUCGGGUGGCGAAAUUGGUAGACGCGAGGGACUUAAAAUCCCUUGGGACAAAAUCCCAUGCGGGUUCGAUCCCCGCCCCGAGCA
rnacentral:tRNA from 1 species